rnacentral:rRNA from 1 species
UUAGUGGCGAACGGGUGAGUAACACGUGAGUAACCUGCCCCUGACUCUGGGAUAAGCGUUGGAAACGACGUCUAAUACUGGAUAUGAUCACUGGCCGCAUGGUCUGGUGGUGGAAAGAGAUUUUUGGUUGGGGAUGGACUCGCGGCCUAUCAGCUUGUUGGUGAGGUAAUGGCUCACCAAGGCGACGACGGGUAGCCGGCCUGAGAGGGUGACCGGCCACACUGGGACUGANACACGGCCCAGACUCCUACGGGAGGCAGCAGUGGGGAAUAUUGCACAAUGGGCGAAAGCCUGAUGCAGCAACGCCGCGUGAGGGAUGACGGCCUUCGGGUUGUAAACCUCUUUUAGUAGGGAAGAAGCGAAAGUGAACGGUACCUGCAGAAAAAGCACCGGCUAACUACGUGCCAGCAGCCGCGGUAAUACGUAGGGUGCAAGCGUUGUCCGGAAUUAUUGGGCGUAAAGAGCUCGUAGGCGGUUUGUCGCGUCUGCUGUGAAAUCCCGAGGCUCAACCUCGGGCUUGCAGUGGGUACGGGCAGACUAGAGUGCGGUAGGGGAGAUUGGAAUUCCUGGUGUAGCGGUGGAAUGCGCAGAUAUCAGGAGGAACACCGAUGGCGAAGGCANAUCUCUGGGCCGUAACUGACGCUGAGGAGCGAAAGCAUGGGGAGCGAACAGGAUUAGAUACCCUGGUAGUCCAUGCCGUAAACGUUGGGCGCUAGAUGUAGGGACCUUUCCACGGUUUCUGUGUCGUAGCUAACGCAUUAAGCGCCCCGCCUGGGGAGUACGGCCGCAAGGCUAAAACUCAAAGGAAUUGACGGGGGCCCGCACAAGCGGCGGAGCAUGCGGAUUAAUUCGAUGCAACGCGAAGAACCUUACCAAGGCUUGACAU